rnacentral:rRNA from 1 species
GACAGAGGAGCCAAGCGUUGUCCGGAUUGACUGGGCGUAAAGCGCACGCAGGCGGCCCGGCGCGUGGGGUGUGAAAGCUGGCGGCUUAACUGCCAGACGCCAUCCCAUACGGCUGGGCUCGAGCCCUGCAGAGGUCCAUGGAAUUGCCGGUGUAGUGGUGAAAUGCGUAGAGAUCGGCAGGAACACCCAGGGGGAAACCAGUCGACUGGGCAGCACCUGACGCUGAGGUGCGAGAGCGUGGGGAGCGAACCGG